GGCCCAAAACCUCUCUCUUUCUCUCACCCCCAUCCAUGGCGCCACCGCGGUAAACCCCCCACAUCAAUUCAACCAGCCAUGGCGCUCUCCGAGCUCCCCCUCCACCACUCCUUCCGCCUCGCCUCCCGCCCCCACCUCCACCUCCUCCCGCUCCGCCUCCUCUCCUCCUCCCGCCCCUCCUCCGCCUCCCCCACCGCCGCCUCCGCCUCCUCCUCCGGCGCCAACCGCGCCCCUCCCGCCCCCUCCCGCGGCGGCGGCGCGCCAUGGAUGCAGAAGUGGGCCCCGGCCGACCCCUCCGCACCCCCGCCCGCCCCCUCCGCGGGACCCUCCCCCACCACCUCCAUCGACCGCAUCGUCCACCGCCUCCGCAACCUCGGCCUCGGCACCGACGACGACGAUCCCUCCUCAGCCUCCGCAACCGCGCCCCUCGACGGCAGGGAGCGCCUCGGCGACCUGCUCGACCGCAGCUGGGCGCGGCCCGACAGCCAGUUCGCCGCCGCCGGCCUCGACGAGGCCGUGCUCCCGUGGGAGAGGGACCAGGAGAGCGACGGCGGGAGGGGCGAGGACGCGGACGGGGUCAGGAGGAAGAGGGUCAAGGCGCCCUCGCUGGCCGAGCUCACCAUGGACGACGCCGAGCUGCGCCGCCUGCGGGGCCUGGGCAUGAAGCUCCGCGACCGCAUCACAGUGCCCAAGGCGGGCGUCACGCAGGCCGUCACCGAGAAGAUCCACGACGCAUGGAGGAAGUCCGAGCUCGUCCGCCUCAAGUUCCACGAGGACCUCGCCCACGACAUGAAGACCGCCCAUGAGCUUGUCGAGCGGCGUACAGGAGGGUUGAUCAUAUGGAGGGCCGGGAGUGUUAUGGUUGUGUACCGAGGGAACAACUACACAAGGCCCGUGAAAUCUCAAACUCCGGACGGUACCUCAUCGCCAAGGAAGGCGGCGGAAGAUGGUACAUUGUUCAUCCCAGAUGCCUCGGGCACCGGUGAGGAUGAUAAUCAGGCGAAGGGUUUAACUGCUCAGCAUGGUAAUGUACCCAGAUUGGAUAUACACAAUACAGAUGACAUGACGGAAGAUGAGCUGGAGUUCAAUCAAAUGCUUGAUGAGCUGGGCCCUCGUUUCGUGGAUUGGUGGGGGACGGGAAUCUUACCUGUGGAUGCCGACCUGCUGCCUCAAACGAUUCCAGGUUACAAAGCGCCAUUUAGACUUCUCCCGACUGGGAUGCGUACAUCCCUUACCAACACAGAGCUCACUAAUUUGCGGAAGCUAGCGAGAAACCUCCCUUGUCAUUUUGCUCUAGGGAGGAACCGGAAUCAUCAAGGCUUGGCCGCGGCUAUUGUUAAGCUUUGGGAGAAGAGUUUGGUGGUGAAAAUAGCUGUCAAACGUGGAAUCCAGAAUACAAACAAUAAGCUCAUGUCAGAAGAAAUAAAGAACCUAACAGGGGGUACCCUGCUUCUUCGAAAUAAAUAUUACAUUGUAAUAUAUCGGGGAAAAGACUUCCUCCCAACAACCGUUGCCUCAGCCUUGGCUGAAAGAGAGGAGCUAACAAAAGAUAUCCAGAGUAUGGAGGAGCAGAGAAGAUGCAUUUCCAUUGCACACUCUCCGGACGAUGGUCUUGAUGGGCAUGCUCUCGUGGGAACUCUUGCUGAAUUUCAGGAGGCGCAAGCACGUUGGGGAAGAGAUGUAACUUCCAGGGAGCAAGAAAAAAUGAAAGAAGCGGCUUUAAGAUCAGAAAAGGAAAAGCUUUUCAGAAGGCUUGAACACAAGUUUUCUAUUGCCCAGGCAAAAAUACAUAGAGCAGGGAAGUUAUUACAAAAGAUUGAAGCUUCUAUGAUCCUCGCAAACCCAUCUGAUGACCGAGAAAUGAUUACAGAUGAGGAAAGGUCUGUUUUCCGUAGAAUUGGUUUGAAAAUGAAAGCAUAUUUGCCUGUUGGAAUCCGUGGUGUCUUUGAUGGUGUCAUUGAAAAUAUGCACUUGCACUGGAAGCACAGGGAAGUUGUCAAAUUGAUUACAAAACAAAAGACCUUGGCCUUUGUUGAGGAGACAGCACGACUUCUACAGUAUGAGAGUGGUGGUAUACUAGUUGCAAUCGAAAGAGUUCCCAAGGGUCAUGCACUUAUUUUUUACCGUGGAAAGAACUAUCGGAGGCCUAUUAACAUAAGGCCGAGAAAUCUGUUAACAAAGGCCAAGGCAUUGAAACGGGCGGUGGCAAUGCAACGCCAUGAGGCCCUCAGCCAGCAUAUAGAUCAACUGGAAAGCAAUAUGAAGCAAAUGAAGCGUGAUUUGGGUAUGGAGGACUACGAUGAAGAGGACGAGGAUGGAUCAGAUUCAGAAAAUGAAGACAAUGCAGCAAUGUCUGGAAGCUACGAUGAGGACCAAGACGAUUUCGAUGAAUCUAGCGAUGAUGAUGAAUUCGGAGAUUAUGAUGAAGACAAAGAUGGCGGGAUGGACGGCUAGUAUCCAAUUUUUGACAUGAAGGUCUAGGUUGACGUUUAUCUCUACAGGCUAUAUUGCAGUCCAUUGGACAUUCUUGGUGGACCUGCUGUGCAGGAACCAAAAAGGAUCUGCUCGAGGACCUUGAUGAUUGUACGUGCAACUUCACUUGGCUGUGAUGCCGGUCUGUACUCCCUUUGAUUUGUUCUCGGCAAUAUGAUUGUUGGGUUCUCCCUUUCAAUUGAUAGCUCUAGGUUGGGCAGAAAUGAUCCUGAAUAGCUUUUUUUUUCCGGUUAUUGUUUUGUACUCCCCUAUCUGUGGAGCGAGGGAGUGUAUAGCCUUGAGGUGUAAUCACUGUAUAAGCUCUUCCCUGCUGCUACCGAAUGUAGUACAGAGCAGAAUAAUUUAGAUCAAAAGAUCAAUCGAGGAAAUGGUGGUUCAGUACA